rnacentral:rRNA from 1 species
UGUCUUUUUGAGAAUAAUAUAAAGUCUAAUCUGCCCACUGAUUAAAUAUUAAAGGGCUGCAGUAUAUUGACUGUACAAAGGUAGCAUAAUCAUUAGUCAUUUAAUUGAUGACUUGUAUGAAAGAUUGGAUGAAAUAUAAACUGUCUCUUAUUUAAUUAUAAAAUUUAAUUUUUUUAUUAAAAAGUUAAAAUAUUUUAAAAAGACGAGAAGACCCUAUAGAGUUUUAUAAAUUAUUAAAUUGAGAUUAUAUGUAAAAUAAAUUUAAAAUUAAAUUAUUUAUUUUGUUGGGGUGAUAAAAAAAUAUAUUUAACUUUUUUUAAUUAUAAAACAUUUAUAAGUGGUUAAAUGAUCCAAUAAUAUUGAUUAUAAGAAAAAAUUACCUUAGGGAUAACAGCGUAAUUUUUUUUUUUAGUUCAAAUAAAAAAAAAAGUUUGCGACCUCGAUGUUGGAUUAAGAUAAAAUUUAGAUGUAGAAG